UCUGGCGGGGGGAUUCAGUUAGGAAAGGCGGAGGUGUGGUUCGGUCGAUUCCAACGGACCCUACCCGGGGCCGGGCCGGCUACACGGUCUCCGUUUUACCUGACGCAUUUCCUCCCGCACUAAGGACGCCGCAGCCGGUUGGGUAGCUGCGUGAGUCGGCCAUGAGGACGGGUACCGGCAGGUGGCCGGUGGCGUUGCUUCGGCUUCGCCGCCGGUUGUUAGCCAAUCCGUCCGUGGCGCGACACCCGACCGAGGUUGAAUGGUUCCCGUAUGGGAACUCGCCGUCCCCUGUCCCCUUCCGGGGAGGCAGUGGGCGCUCUGGCAGGCGUAUCGCGGUGUUGCCACGUCACUCCUCGUAGUGGCCGGUGCUCCGAGGUCGCUGUUGGCUGGAAGCGUCCCGCAGGGGUGCAGGCGGCUAGCGGCGAGUAGGUCGGUCACCCACCCGACCCGUCUUGAAACACGGACCAAGGAGUCUAACAUGUGCGCGAGUCACGGGGUCUUGAUUAGGCCCAGAGGCGCAAUGAAAGUGAAGGUCGACCUCGACGUCGGCUGUGUUGGGAUUUUCCGUCCCUCGGGGCGGGGAAGCACCAACGACCCGUCCUAUCCGAUUUAUCGGUUGGGCGGAGUCUGAGCGUACACGUUGGGACCCGAAAGAUGGUGAACUAUGCCUGGGCAGGACGAAGCCAGAGGAAACUCUGGUGGAGGUCCGUAGCGGUUCUGACUUGCAAAUCGAUCGUCAGACCCGGGUAUAGGG
rnacentral:rRNA from 1 species